rnacentral:lncRNA from 10 species
CUUAUACCAUCACACUGGGGGGUUAGGGUUGCAGCAUAUGAAUUGGAAACUAGGGAACACAUUUUGUCUAUGGUACUAACCCACAUCCAAUUCAUGAGCAAAUCCAUAGGCUCCACCUUCAACAUUUAUUCAGAAGUUAACUUUGAUCACCACCUCCACAGCCACCAUCUUAGUCCAGGACAUCAUCAUCUCUUACUUGGAUUAUUGCAGUAGCUUAACUUGUCCCCCUGACUGUGCCAUUUCUAAGGCAGUCUGUCCUCAACCCAGCAGCUCUUCUGUCAGUUUGCCAGGACUUAGACUUCUAUGAAUCCAUGAAUGUGGGCUGGCUCUGCGAACACUGCUGUGAAGGCUACAUUUUUUUGCGGACCACCUAGGCACAGAAUUUUUUUUUUCUCACAGUUCUGGAGGCGAGCAAGUCCAAGAUCAAAGCACUGGCAGCUUCUUUGAGGGUCUGUUCCAGUAAAAGCAUCUUCUUGCAACAACAUCCUCACAUGACAGAGGGGGGAAGGGCAACAGGACAUGAAUGCUGUGCCCUCACCUGGUGAAGAGAGGAAGAGCAAAAGGGUCUCAGCUAGCUCCCUCCAGCCCUUUUCUAAGUGCAGAAUUUUAUUGGCUUGUCAUGAAUUUUCAGCAGAAAGUUAACAGAGAUGUGGUUUCGCCAUGUUAGCCAGGCUGGUCUCCAACUCCCAAGUUCAAGCGAUCAGCCCGCCUCAGCCUCCCAAAAUGCUAGGAUUACAGGAGUGAGCCACCACCUUCGAGUCCGGCCUUCGAGUCUGCUUUGAAUGCACUGUUAUCACAUCUAGUGCUCACAACUGAAGAACAACAUCUAUAAUAAUCUGCAUUUUGCAGAUAUUGAACAGUUAUCUACCCUCGGUCACAUUGCCAGAAGGUGGUAGAAUUAGAAUUAAAACUCAGGAGUUUGUUUCCACACCAGAUACUCUUAACCAUUUUAUUAAAACUUGACAAAACUUAAAUAUAUAUAUAUAUAUAGUCCAUAUACUGUGCAUUUCUU